rnacentral:sRNA from 1 species
UGUAAGACAAAUGUUAUUGUUUAUAAGUUAAAGCACUGAAAUUUUUACAUCAUUUUUGUUAUAUAAAUUCCCUUAAAUUGACCUCUAAUAUUAGUUAAGUCAAGAAGGACAAAGUCUAAUAAAAGAUAGUAGCCGUGGAACUGAAAACUUGGGAAAGCAACUAAAAAAAUUAUAUUCAAAAUAGUUUUAUCCUGGGUAUAAGCUUAACACUUCAUAGUGACACAUACAUUGGUAGUAGCCAGCAGCUCUCUAACUGGACUUAAGACCUACUCAACAAGAGGGAAACCAUGCCUGUUACAGAAGACCUAGCUAACUCCCCAUGCUAGUAAACUCAUGGAUCAUGAAGGAGAACCUACAACCACCAUUUUACUAAACCUGCAUACUCUGACUGCAUUCUAAAUAUUUAUCCUUGAGCCCACAAAUUAGUGUAAUUCUCACCGCUCUUCAAAAACUUUUUUCUCUUUGCAACAAAUAAAGACUAUCACAGGAAACCACAACUGAUCAAAUGCAGCUGAUCCCUAAUGAACACAUCUACAACACAACCCCUGCACAUAAGGCUCAGGGAUCGUUUCCGAAAAGGAGGUGGAAAGCUUGAAGGAGUCAGAAGAACAGGAGCAUUGCUAGGAGACGGUGUUUCCUAGAAAUGUCAGAGAAGAUACGCCCAUGAAGUCUCACUAACAUGGCUGCCUAAACAUGACCUGACGAAGAAAAGACACCAACGGACAUGCUAACGUGAGAGAGAGAAUGUUUGUGGGACCUCAACACUAGACAAAGAACUCAGGCAGCAAGGAAUGCUGAGAGAGAGUGAAAUAGUCUUCCCCGUGGAGAAACAAAACUAGUUAUCCAAACCAAAUGUUCAGAUGCUCACAGAAGAGGAAGUAGAGGACCUCAGAUGCCCUAUUCAAUUUACCCAUGACAGAAAAACAGCUGGGCAGGUUUUUGGCUCCUGUCUGACCCUUCUAAGAACCCACUGCUGACUGUUGGAAGCCUGACUAAUCUUGUUGGCUUGACAUCGUGCAAGGGAGGGAAACUGGACCCAAGGCUGGUGCAAGCCAGGCAAACCCUGUGCCAUGGGGCUUUCAUUCCAGACAAAAGUAUUUCUUAUCUGACUAGGUA